rnacentral:rRNA from 1 species
GACGAACGCUGGCGGCGUGCUUAACACAUGCAAGUCGAACGGAAAGGCCCUGCUUUUGUGGGGUGCUCGAGUGGCUAACGGGUGAGUGACACGUGAGUAACCUGCCCUUGACUUUGGGAUAACUUCAGGAAACUGGGGCUAAUACCGGAUAGGAGCUCCUGCUGCAUGGUGGGGGUUGGAAAGUUUCGGCGGUUGGGGAUGGACUCGCGGCUUAUCAGCUUGUUGGUGGGGUAGUGGCUUACCAAGGCUUUGACGGGUAGCCGGCCUGAGAGGGUGACCGGCCACAUUGGGACUGAGAUACGGCCCAGACUCCUACGGGAGGCAGCAGUGGGGAAUAUUGCACAAUGGGCGGAAGCCUGAUGCAGCAACGCCGCGUGCGGGAUGACGGCCUUCGGGUUGUAAACCGCUUUCGCCUGUGACGAAGCGUGAGUGACGGUAAUGGGUAAAGAAGCACCGGCUAACUACGUG